UACGUAGGGGGCUAGCGUUGUCCGGAAUCAUUGGGCGUAAAGCGCGUGUAGGCGGUUCGGUAAGUCCGCUGUGAAAGUCGGGGGCUCAACCCUCGAACGCCGGUGGAUACUGUCGGGCUAGAGUCCGGAAGAGGCGAGUGGAAUUCCUGGUGUAGCGGUGGAAUGCGCAGAUAUCAGGAGGAACACCGAUGGCGAAGGCAGCUCGCUGGGACGGUACUGACGCUGAGGCGCGAAAGCGUGGGGAGCGAACAGG
rnacentral:rRNA from 1 species